CGGGAAGCCGUGAGGUGCACUGUGUACCAGGAGCGUGGCUCUGGAGUAAUAAUCUGAGGCAGGACCCCAGCUCCCCCACUUUCCUCUCCUGUGAGGCUUGGACUGAUCUCUUAACCACCUACUGAAGGCCUUCUCUCUCAAGCAGAUGCACUCUUAUCCUUUGAGGCUGCAGAUGCCAGGGACAUGCUUCCAUUGCAGCAUCAUCAAGAUGGCUUGGGAUCAAGAUGACUUGGGCGCACUAUCCUCCCUACCAGGCCCUGAGCAACACCAUCAUUUCUCAUUCCUAAUUCCCAGGAGAGCAUGGCACAGAGAGGUGCUCAGCAUCUUCCUGAGACUUAUAGAAGAAGCCAAGGAGCUGAGAGCAGCAGAGACAAGAAACAGAGGGAGAGUGAGAAAGUCCCGGGCCAUUCCGCAACUCAAGCAGGAGAAAAACCCAGGAGUGGGGUGGCGUAGGCGGGGCCACCACAAGGAGCCCGUGCAUCAGGGGGCGCAGGCUGUUUCUGGAUCAUUCCACUGGGAAGGGGACAAAACCCAUCUUUUAUGACCCAUGUUCAGUUCUCAGUUGGAGUCAGGUCUUUGGCCUUGAUAGAUUUCAAUAUCCUGUGCAGCUGAUGUCUGACCCACGCAUCAAGAAUACAGCCUUCACACACCUGCCGUGAGAAGCCCUCUAUGACCUUCUGCAGAGGGAGGGAACUGCCUAAGAGCUGCUGAGUGCAGGAAUGCAGGGUGCUAAGAAGCAGGUACCCAGUUUGGGGUUAAAAUAUGUAUAAUAUAUCCAUUUGAAUACCCAUCAAUAAAUAUCAGUCAUGCUCACUUUUGGGUGCUGGGGGUUAUUGGAGAUAUUGAUUCAUUUGUUUUAUGAGUGG
rnacentral:lncRNA from 10 species